rnacentral:tRNA from 1 species
GCCGGCGUAGCUUAACGGUAGAGCAGCUAAGUAGUUAUUAGUCGAUCUUAGGUUCGAGUCCUUUGCGUUGGCACCA